CUUUCAUCCAUAUCAGGUACAGUGCAACAACAGGCUGAAGAACAAAACCACACUGUUUCUCAUCUGCCUGGACUAUAUUGCUUCUCCGUUCUGCCUGUGUGACAAUGAGGUGCUGUGCCUUGCUUAUCAGCACUGAACCACCGUGACAGACUGGAGCUGGGCUGCCCCAAAAUGGUGGCAUUUGCUUCCCAAAAGCACAAAAGGAGAAGUCAUUUACACAGCAGGCUGCGGACUUGGAACCACUUUUGGACACCUGGGUGUGAAAUAGGGCUUGACGACAGGUUGAAAAAGUCAUCUUUCACCAUCGAGGAUUACAGCCACACCGCGUGUCUAUAACAGGGUGCAGCUCAAUAAAUGAAUGAGUG